rnacentral:rRNA from 1 species
UUAAGCAUAUCAAUAAGCGGAGGAAAAGAAACCAACAGGGAUUGCCUUAGUAGCGGCGAGUGAAGCGGCAAGAGCUCAAAUUUGAAAUCUGGUACCUUCGGUGCCCGAGUUGUAAUUUGAAGAAAGCUAUCUUGGAUUUGGCCUUUGUCUAUGUUCCUUGGAACAGGACGUCACAGAGGGUGAGAAUCCCGUGCGAUGAGGUGUCCAUUUCUAUGUAAGAUGUUUUCGAAGAGUCGAGUUGUUUGGGAAUGCAGCUCUAAGUGGGUGGUAAAUUCCAUCUAAAGCUAAAUAUUGGCGAGAGACCGAUAGCGAACAAGUACAGUGAUGGAAAGAUGAAAAGAACUUUGAAAAGAGAGUGAAAAAGUACGUGAAAUUGUUGAAAGGGAAGGGUAUUAGAUCAGACUUGGUAUUUAGUUAUCAUUACUCCUUGUGGGUGGUGCUCUAGCUUUUUACUGGGCCAGCAUCAGUUUUGGUGACAGGAUAAUAGCAAUUGAAUGUGGCUCUUCGGAGUGUUAUAGCUUUUGUUGAUACUGUCUACUGGGACUGAGGUCUGCGGCUUUGCCUAGGAUGCUGGCGUAAUGAUCCAAUACCGCCCGUCUUGAAACAUGGACCAAGGAGUCUAACGUCUAUGCGAGUGUUUGGGUGUAAAACCCGUACGCGUAAUGAAAGUGAACGUAGAUCAGGGCCCGCAAGGGUGCACGAUCGACCGAUCCUGAUGUUUUCAGAUGGAUUUGAGUAAGAGCAUAGCUGUUGGGACCCGAAAGAUGGUGAACUAUGCCUGAAUAGGGUGAAGCCAGAGGAAACUCUGGUGGAGGCUCGUAGCGGUUCUGACGUGCAAAUCGAUCGUCGAAUUUGGGUAUA